rnacentral:rRNA from 1 species
GUCCACGCCGUAAACGAUGAGUACUAGGUGUUGCGGGUAUUGACCCCUGCAGUGCCGCAGCUAACGCAUUAAGUACUCCGCCUGGGAAGUACGGUCGCAAGACUAAACUCAAAGGAAUUGACGGGGCCCGCACAAGCGGUGGAGCAUGUGGUUUAAUUCGACGCAACGCGCAGAACCUUACCUGGUCUUGACAUCUACGGAACCCUCCCGAAAGGAGGGUGCCUUUCGGGGAGCCGUAAGACAGGUGCUGCAUGGCUGUCGU